GGAUGUGAGGGUGACUUGGCUGCGGCAUCUGUCAUCCCAGUGAUCGCCAGGGUUGAUUCGGCUGAUCUGGCUGGCUAGGCAACCGUCCCCUUCCUCCCUUACCACUCCAUGUGCGUCCCUCCCGAAGCUGCGCGCUUGGUGGAAGAGGAUGAGGAUGGCCUUCCCCGAAUAGAGACAGACCGGUCUUUGGUCAAGGGUGUACGAGUAGCUGCGCUCCCCUGCUAGAACCUCCAAACAAGCUCUCAAGGCCCUUUUAAUAUUAUUUUUUGUUUGUGGAGGGGGGGGGUCUGGAGUUUCUUGCCUGCAUGAUUCCACCAUUCCUAGGGGU
rnacentral:snRNA from 1 species